AUAAUGUGGAACCGCACCCAAAUGAACCUAUAUUAACAACAGAACACAGAGUAGACGAAGACGAAGUCGAAGAGGUCCCACGUGGACCAAAGCCGGAUUUGGGAGAGGAACAUAAUGUAGAACCGCACCCAAAUGAACCUAUAUUAACAACAGAACACAGAGUAGACGAAGAGGAAGUCGAAGAGGUCCCACGUGGACCAACGCCGGAUUUGGGAGAGGAACAUAAUGUAGAACCGCACCCAAAUGAACCUAUAUUAACAACAGAACACAGAGUAGACGAAGAGGAAGUCGAAGAGGUCCCACGUGGACCAACGCCGG